GACGAACGCUGGCGGCGUGCUUAACACAUGCAAGUCGAACGGAAAGGCCCUGCUUUUGUGGGGUGCUCGAGUGGCGAACGGGUGAGUAACACGUGAGUAACCUGCCCUUGACUUUGGGAUAACUUCAGGAAACUGGGGCUAAUACCGGAUAGGAGCUCCUGCUGCAUGGUGGGGGUUGGAAAGUUUCGGCGGUUGGGGAUGGACUCGCGGCUUAUCAGCUUGUUGGGGGGGUAGUGGCUUACCAAGGCUUUGACGGGUAGCCGGCCUGAGAGGGUGACCGGCCACAUUGGGACUGAGAUACGGACCAGACUCCUACGGGAGGCAGCAGUGGGGAAUAUUGCACAAUGGGCGGAAGCCUGAUGCAGCAACGCCGCGUGCGGGAUGACGGCCUUCGGGUUGUAAACCGCUUUCGCCUGUGACGAAGCGUGAGUGACGGUAAUGGGUCAAGAAGCACCGGCUAACUACGUG
rnacentral:rRNA from 1 species